GAUGAACGCUGGCGGCGUGCCUAAUACAUGCAAGUCGAGCGAACAGAUAAGGAGCUUGCUCCUUUGAAGUUAGCGGCGGACGGGUGAGUAACACGUGGGUAACCUACCUAUAAGACUGGGAUAACUUCGGGAAACCGGAGCUAAUACCGGAUAACAUUUAGAACCGCAUGGAUCUAAAGUGAAAGAUGGUUUUGCUAUCACUUAUAGAUGGACCCGCGCCGUAUUAGCUAGUUGGUAAGGUAACGGCUUACCAAGGCGACGAUACGUAGCCAACCUGAGAGGGUGAUCGGCCACACUGGAACUGAGACACGGUCCAGACUCCUACGGGAGGCAGCAGUAGGGAAUCUUCCGCAAUGGGCGAAAGCCUGACGGAGCAACGCCGCGUGAGUGAUGAAGGGUUUCGGCUCGUAAAACUCUGUUAUUAGGGAAGAACAAAUGUGUAAGUAACUGUGCACAUCUUGACGGUACCUAAUCAGAAAGCCACGGCUAACUACGUGCCAGCAGCCGCGGUAAUACGUAGGUGGCAAGCGUUAUCCGGAAUUAUUGGGCGUAAAGCGCGCGUAGGCGGUUUCUUAAGUCUGAUGUGAAAGCCCACGGCUCAACCGUGGAGGGUCAUUGGAAACUGGGAAACUUGAGUGCAGAAGAGGAAAGUGGAAUUCCAUGUGUAGCGGUGAAAUGCGCAGAGAUAUGGAGGAACACCAGUGGCGAAGGCGACUUUCUGGUCUGUAACUGACGCUGAUGUGCGAAAGCGUGGGGAUCAAACAGGAUUAGAUACCCUGGUAGUCCACGCCGUAAACGAUGAGUGCUAAGUGUUAGGGGGUUUCCGCCCCUUAGUGCUGCAGCUAACGCAUUAAGCACUCCGCCUGGGGAGUACGACCGCAAGGUUGAAACUCAAAGGAAUUGACGGGGACCCGCACAAGCGGUGGAGCAUGUGGUUUAAUUCGAAGCAACGCGAAGAACCUUACCAAAUCUUGACAUCCUUUGAAAACUCUAGAGAUAGAGCCUUCCCCUUCGGGGGACAAAGUGACAGGUGGUGCAUGGUUGUCGUCAGCUCGUGUCGUGAGAUGUUGGGUUAAGUCCCGCAACGAGCGCAACCCUUAAGCUUAGUUGCCAUCAUUAAGUUGGGCACUCUAGGUUGACUGCCGGUGACAAACCGGAGGAAGGUGGGGAUGACGUCAAAUCAUCAUGCCCCUUAUGAUUUGGGCUACACACGUGCUACAAUGGACAAUACAAAGGGCAGCUAAACCGCGAGGUCAUGCAAAUCCCAUAAAGUUGUUCUCAGUUCGGAUUGUAGUCUGCAACUCGACUACAUGAAGCUGGAAUCGCUAGUAAUCGUAGAUCAGCAUGCUACGGUGAAUACGUUCCCGGGUCU
rnacentral:rRNA from 1 species